CAGUGAGUCAUGAAGCAUUGGUCCGGAAAGGACUGGCUUCUCGAUGUGUUUCCAUCCCUGUCCGAGAGGCCACAGAUGAUAAUAUUCUACUGAUUCACAGUGAGGAGUACCUGGAGGCAGUGAAGAAGACCCCCUACAUGAUGCUGGAAGACCUGAAGGUGUCACGCCUGGCGUAGACACUAGUUUUACAUUUUGGACCCAGGUGAUCUCUAGUUGGGCGGAGCUACAGAACAGGCACAGCUGUGCCUCAUUGUCGGUCACUCCUUUUUUAAGCUCACCUGUGGCGACUGGAUGGCACUCGGUGAUUCCUCGUGGCAGAACCUCCAAGCCAAGAUCCGUGCUGCUGCCGUCGGCCAUCCAGUCCCGCCUGGUUUUUCCUCACGGCUUUGUGGUAGCUCCGCCUGACCAGCUUUGGUAUAUUUUUCAGUUACAGUAUAUCUUGUUCCAUUUUUCCGCGAUGCCCUUUUCUUUUCCGUGGCAUCGUAGUUUUUUGUUCCUGAGCUGCUUACACCAGUAUUAAAGACUCUUUCUCUCAUAACUCGUGUACGCCUCUGCAUACUGGGAUCCAGACAACUGUCAUACAAACCCUCACAGAAUCACCGAGUCAAUAAGUAUGGAUCCCGCAGAGGAGAGUCAGGUCCAGAUGGCUCUUCGGGCUCAUGGCCAGCGCAUUAGUGCCCACGAGCAAACGUUGAGUGACUUGACCACGCUGGUGCGCGAGCUGCACGCAAGUAUCACGGGAGCCCCGCAGACAGCGGCUGCUGAACCAACGCAGCCCGCAGCAGCAAGCGAUACACUUGCUGUAUCCUCCCAUUUCGCUUUCCGUGAGCCCAGCAUUCCACACCCAGCAAGGUAUGGCGGCGACUUUGGCCAGUGUCAGCUCUUCAUACACCAGUGCUCCUUGAUCUUCGCCCAACAGCCCCACACGUACGCCACGGACUCCUCUAAAGUGGCAUAUAUGCUCAGCUUGCUCUCCGGUCGUGCCGCCAGUUGGGCCAUGGCGAUGUGCGAAAGCAAACCGGAACUGUGCUCCAGCUUACCUCUCUUCACGGCAGAAUUCCGGAGUGUGUUUGAUCACCCCGUAAGGGAACGCGAGGCUGGCGGCCGCCUCCUUACCAUACGUCAAGGCGCCGCGUCCGUGGCGGAUCACUCAAUCUCCUUCCGGAUCUUGGCAGCAGAAAGCGGCUGGAAUGAGAAGGCUCUGCGGUGUGUCUACCUGGCCAGUCUCAACGCUCGCCUCCAGGAUGAAUUGGCCGCUCGGGAUGAGACCCGCUCCUUGGAGGAUCUCAUCUCACUCUCCAUCCGCCUCGACAACCGCCUGCGGGAGCGCAGCGCACAGCGGAAGGCGGAGCCUCUUCCACCACCCCGGCUUGAUUCGGCUCCACAGCUUGGUCUUCGUUCGAACCCGCUGCUUCCACCCUCCAGCGCCGGGACGCCACUAGAAGACGCCGAGGGGGUGGUGCCCAUGCAACUCGGAGGUAGUCGUCUGUCGGCGGCGGAGAGGAGCCGUCGCCGAAGGUUGCACCUAUGCCUCUACUGCGGGGAGGCGGGCCACAACAUCGCAACCUGCCCAGCCCGGCCCACAAGACGUCGUUCGUCGUCCACUGGGGAUACGCCUCGGGGAGGAGGACCCCUCCCUCUCACUCAGGCCUCGGCUUCGUCAUCCAUGGUGGGACGUCUCCAAAUAGAAGGUACUCUUUCUUGGCCGGGGGGAACGUGUCCUGUACGGGCACUUAUUGACUCGGGGGCUGAUGAAAAUUUUAUUGAUUGUGGACUGAUUAAUUCUAUGAAUAUUCCAGUUUCUAAGAUGGAUAAUGUUAAGAAUGUCCGUUCUCUUGAUGGGCGCCACCUGGCGAGUAUUUCCCACCAGACACACGCGGUCUCGUUGCUGCUUGCGGGUAACCACCACGAGGUAAUUAAGUUUUUUGUUAUUCCGUCUCGUUCAGCCCCGUUGGUGCUUGGGUUGCCCUGGCUGCAGCGGCAUAAUCCUACUAUAGAUUGGUCUAUUCUUAAAAUUUCUAAUUGGUCCACCUUUUGCCAUAGUCAUUGUCUCCGGGCUGCCUCUUCCCCUGUCAGUGCUGUUAAACCUUCCACCUGUACUCCUCCCGAUAUGUCAUCUGUACCCAGAGAAUACCAUCAUAUUAGUGAGGUUUUUUGCAAGAUCAAAGCAUUUUCUCUUCCCCCCCAUCGUCCAUACGACUGCGCCAUUGAUUUGUUGCCGGGAUCUCCUCUCCCCUCCUCCCGUUUGUACAAUAUUUCACAACCUGAACAACAUGCACUGGAGGAAUAUAUCUCAUCCUCCCUGGCUGCGGGUCAUAUCCGUCCUUCUUCCUCUCCGCUUGCAGCUGGGUUCUUCUUCGUUAAAAAGAAAGACGGUACUCUACGUCCGUGUAUAGAUUUCCGCGCCCUCAAUAAAAUUACGGUCCGUAAUAAAUAUCCUCUGCCCCUCAUCGAUUCCGCUUUUACGCCGCUUCAUGACGCGGUCAUAUUUACUAAGCUCGACCUACGCAACGCCUAUCAUUUGGUGCGGGUACGGAGAGGGGAUGAAUGGAAGACUGCCUUCAACACACCGUUAGGGCAUUUUGAGUAUUGCGUCAUGCCCUUCGGUCUCACUAAUGCUCCUGCCGUGUUUCAGUGCCUGAUCAAUGACGUUCUUCGUGAUAUGAUCGGCCGGUUCGUGUUUGUUUAUUUAGACGACAUCCUUAUUUUUUCUCGUUCCACGCAACAACACAGGCAGCACGUCAGUAUAGUCCUUCAAAGACUGCUAGAGAAUAAGUUGUACGUUAAACCCCAGAAGUGUACUUUUCACAUGUCUUCGGUGUCGUUUUUGGGUUUCAUUGUGGAAAAAGGGCAACUCAGACCUGACCCAGCCAAGAUCCAGGCUGUGGCCCUCUGGCCCAUUCCUACAUCAAGGAAGCUGUUGCAGAGGUUCCUGGGUUUUGCCAAUUUUUACCGGCGUUUUAUACGGGAUUUCAGCAAGGUGGCGGAACCUCUGAAUAAGCUCACAUCAUCUAAAGUUCCCUUUUGUUGGUCGCUGGAGGCAGACCGAGCCUUUCGGCGCCUUAAACAUUUUUUUAUUUCCGCUCCGGUGCUUGUUCAUCCUAACCCUACUCUCCCCUUUUUUGUUGAGGUAGAUGCAUCUGACACCGGAGUCGGGGCCGUGCUCUCCCAGCGGUCCACAGCGGAUCAGAAACUGCACCCCUGUGCCUUUUUCUCUCGACGCCUCUCACCAGCAGAGAGGAAUUAUGACAUUGGCAACCGAGAACUUCUGGCAGUCAUACUCGCUCUCCAAGAGUGGAGACAUUGGCUGGAGGGGGCGGCUCACCCCUUUGUGAUUUACACGGACCAUCGUAACCUCUCCUACAUCCGUUCUGCCCAGCGCCUUAACCCUCGCCAAGCGCGGUGGGCCCUCUUCCUCACGAGGUUUGAUUUUUGCAUCACGUUCCGCCCUGGUUCCCUCAAUGGAAAACCUGAUGCAUUAUCCAGGAUGUAUUCCCCGGCAGUGGAAGAGCCGAAGUCAGAGACUAUCCUCCCCCAGUCUCGGAUUCUGGGUGCCCUGCGGUGGGAGAUCGAGAGACGGGUGGCAGAAGCCUCCAAGGAUUCUCCUCCUCAAAGUGGUUGUCCGCCUGGCCGCCUCUUUGUCCCAAGACCCCUUCGCUCAGAGGUCCUGGUCUGGGCUCAUUGCUCUAAGAUCGCUUGUCACCCAGGGGCCCGACGUACAGCGUUUCUUGUCGCUCAACGUUUUUGGUGGCCAACCCUUCAUGCGGACACCAAGAGCUUUGUGGCGGCUUGCUACAACUGUGCACGAGGCAAGUCGUCCCAUCAGGCGCCAGCAGGACUGCUCCACCCCCUCCCUAUCCCGUCUCGCCCUUGGUCUCACAUCUCUUUGGAUUUUGUCACCGGUCUGCCCUCCUCAAGAGGAUUCACUGUUAUACUCACUAUUGUGGAUAGAUUUUCCAAGUUCACACACUUCAUACCCCUCCGCAAGCUCCCUUCCUCCAUAGAGACAGCCAAGUUACUCAUUCAGCAUGUGGUGCGCCUUCACGGCAUCCCUCAGGACGUGGUGUCGGACAGGGGCCCUCAAUUUUCCUCUGCCACAUGGAAAGCCUUUUGCAAGUCUCUGGGUGCAUCUGCAAGUUUAUCAUCUGGCUACCAUCCCCAAUCCAACGGACAAUCGGAGCGCGCCAACCAGGACUUGGGGGCAGCACUGAGGUGUGUGUGCCAGCAGCGUCCUUCUUCGUGGUCCACGUAUCUCCCAUGGGUAGAGUACGCCCACAACACCCUCAUUUGUUCUGCGACAGGCCUUUCCCCCUUUCAUGUGGUGCACGGCUUUCAGCCCCCCAUUUUUCCCUCCCAAGAGGCCGAUUGCACUGUACCCUCGCUGGCCGCAUUCCUUCGCCGUGCCCAUCGCGUCUGGCGCAGUACCAGGGCCGCUCUAUCCCGUACGGCCAAGCGUAAUCAGAGGCUCGCCAACCGCCACCGCAAACCAGCCCCCGCCUACAAGCCCGGCCAGAAGGUAUGGCUGUCAUCUCGGGAUGUCUCCCUGGCAGGAGAGACUAAGAAGCUAGCGCCCAGAUUUAUUGGUCCCUAUGAGGUAGAGCGGAUGAUCAAUCCGGUGACGGCUCGCCUAAAACUUCCCCCUUCUCUCAAGAUUCAUCCGGUCCACCAUGUUUCCCGUCUGAAGCCAGUGGUCUCCAGUACUCUGAGCCCCCCAUUGGCGACCCCCCCACCUCCCCGGCUUGUGGAUGGUCAUCUUGCCUACACCGUCAAGGAGAUCCUGGACGCCAGGAGACGAGGCAGGGGUGUGCAGUUUCUGGUGGACUGGGAGGGUUAUGGUCCCGAAGACCGUUCAUGGAUAUCCCGGCCGCUUAUUCUCGACAAUAACCUCAUUUCUGAUUUUUACCGUAGGUUCCCAGACAAACCAGGUGGUCCACCAGGGGGCGUCCAUUGAAUGAGGGGGGGGAAUACUGUCACGCCUGGCGUAGACACUAGUUUUACAUUUUGGGUACAGGUUAUUAUUUGUGGCUUAUUUCCUUUCACUUGUUCAUUUUCUGCUUUUGUGUCAUCACACAGACCCAGGUGAUCUCUAGUUGGGCGGAGCUACAGAACAGGCACAGCUGUGCCUCAUUGUCGGUCACUCCUUUUUUAAGCUCACCUGUGGCGACUGGAUGGCACUCGGUGAUUCCUCGUGGCAGAACCUCCAAGCCAAGAUCCGUGCUGCUGCCGUCGGCCAUCCAGUCCCGCCUGGUUUUUCCUCACGGCUUUGUGGUAGCUCCGCCUGACCAGCUUUGGUAUAUUUUUCAGUUACAGUAUAUCUUGUUCCAUUUUUCCGCGAUGCCCUUUUCUUUUCCGUGGCAUCGUAGUUUUUUGUUCCUGAGCUGCUUACACCAGUAUUAAAGACUCUUUCUCUCAUAACUCGUGUACGCCUCUGCAUACUGGGAUCCAGACAACUGUCAUACAAACCCUCACAGAAGGACUUCACCUUGCAAUAUGGGGACGUCUACUUUCACCCAGUUAGUGGUAUUACUUUCUCAUCAAGAGCUCCUGUGGUCUUCUUCCAGACAGGUGAGCAAGUUUUUUUCUCACAUUGUGCUCUAGAACAUCUAUCACUGUGCCAAACUGGCCGUGGGAGCCGCACUGCAACUGGUAGAUGGCGUUAUGACUGGGAAAGUGAGAAAUGGCAUGGCUCUGAUCAGACCCCCGGGACAUCACAGCAUGCGCAGUGCUGCCAAUGGAUUCUGCGUGUUCAACAAUGU